rnacentral:lncRNA from 1 species
GUUACUCUUUUGACAGGAAGCGGGGCAAGUUGGGAAGAAGACUGUCCUUUGGUAGAAGCCAUAUUUUAGGCUCUGCAUGUCAUGUAAACACUCAUUGGUCUCCUACUUGCCAACUCCAGGGUUGCUACUGGGAGGAAGAGGACUCUUUUGGAGGUAGGCUUUUUGCACAGCAUUGUUGGUCCCUGAGGGCAC